rnacentral:rRNA from 1 species
GUGGGGAAUAUUGGACAAUGGGCGCAAGCCUGAUCCAGCCAUGCCGCGUGAGUGAUGAAGGCCUUAGGGUUGUAAAGCUCUUUCAGUGGGGACGAUAAUGACGGUACCCACAGAAGAAGCCCCGGCUAACUUCGUGCCAGCAGCCGCGGUAAUACGAAGGGGGCUAGCGUGGUUCGGAUUUACUGGGCGUAAAGCGCACGUAGGCGGAUCGUUAAGUCGGGGGUGAAAUCCUGGAGCUCAACUCCAGAACUGCCUUUAAUACUGCCAGUCUAGAGUCCAGAAGAGGUGAGUGGAACUCCUAGUAUAGAGGUGGAAUUCGUAGAUAUUAGGAAGAACACCAGUGGCGAAGGCGGCUCACUGGUCUGGUACUGACGCUGCGGUGCGAAAGCGUGGGGAGCAAACAGGAUUAGAAACCCCGGUAGUCC